GGCCUGGUGGUCUAGUAGUAUGAUUCCUUCUUAGGGUCUUCCGACAGUCUGGAGGAGGUCCCGGGUUCAAUUCCCGGCCAGGCCC